UAAUAGAACAUAUUCAAUUUGUUUUGCGGUGCGGACAGAUCAUGGACCCAUUCAAGUUGAAUGGGUCUGGCUCCAUCGCGGCCGCCGCACGGAUGGUGCCCGUUCGUUGGGGACCGCAAAUUGCCCUUAAUUUGCUGUACAGUUAGACGCAAAGUUGUUCCCUGCUAGCCAUUCCAGGCAUUAAAAAAAAGGCUGGAUUUAGUGUUCUGCCAUACUCACAUGGCAAAAUAUGGCGCAGAUAGUGUAGAUAAAAUGCUUGUUUUAUGCACUGUUAUACGCUUCAAGAACGCUUGAAAACAGCUUCCUAUUGGGCCAUAGUUCACACGGACAAGUAUUUUUAUGCUGCUGUUUCCCAAAAACACUUCAAGAAUUGGCAUAUUAAGGGGGUCAAUUAUCAAACUGGUGUAUUGUAGAACUGGCUUAGGUGCCCAUAGCAACCAAUCAGAUUCC